AGAUAUUCCAGGACAAACUGACCUUAGGGGAAUCAAACUGAGAUCAAUGACUAAGACAAGAAUCAACCAUUAUUCUUCAGUUUGAAUAUAUUCCUGUUGAUAAUAACUUGACAUCGAAUAUGAAGACCUGUGAAAGGGCUCAUCACUUUACCUCUCCUGUGACUAGCUGCCAAAAAGAGGGCGCAGAUAUCAGAGCGUACCAGGAGUUGCUGAUUAAGUCUUUUUUUGUACUUAGACUAAGCGGCCGUCCUCCUCCUGCUGUGAAUUGUUUAAACAGCCUCUGCCAAGUCACCUUUAUCACAGAAAUUAACCAGACUGCUUCAAUAUAUCUGGAACCUAAUGGUAUAUUGUCAAUCUUUGCUUCUUAAUAGCUUAAUAUGAAAAAAUUACUUAUAUUUGGAAUUAAACA